ACCUGGCUGGCUCAGUCAGUAGAGCAUGUGACUCUUGAUCUCAGGGUUGUGAGUUCAAGCCAUACGUUGGGGG
rnacentral:tRNA from 1 species